CACACGCACACACGCACGCACACACGUGCAUGUUCCUCGCCAUAUAAGUGCAUUCAUCUUGAAAGGGACACCGUUAAACCCCAUUUCACCUCACCUCAGAUGGAAGAAAAAAUUGUUCUUCCUUGUAUAUAUUUACAUGUUUUAUCUUAGUGUUUCAAUAAAAAAUGAUGUUUACAGUGCAAAAGCAAAUGGUACAGCAGACCGGGUUAAGACACUUUCACCAAUGCGUUUCAUUAUUUUGUUUUAGUUUAUGGUAAAUCAAUGUGUGGAUUAGUUUCAAAAGUUCACCUCCCAGGGGGCUUGAUAACAACAAAAUGUUGCCUUCAUUUUUACCUUGCCUUUAUGGUUAUAGACUACAUAUUUUGCAUUAACCUAAAUGUAUUGUAUGUGUUCUGAGUCCAUUACGCUGAACAACGUCAUAGAUGAUUGGCUGCUUAAAAUGAUACUAGUACGUUUUUCUGACGUUUGUGGUGGUUCUUAGACUUUCACACGCAUUGCUAAUAACGCCUUACAUGAGAGAGUGAGUGAGUAUGGUUUUACGCCGCUUUUAGCAAUAUUCCAGCAAUAUCACGGCGGGGGACACCAGAAAUGGGCUUCACACAUUGUACCCAUGUCAGGAAUCGAACCCGGGUCUUCGGCGUGACGAGCGAACGCUUUAACCACUUGGCUACCCGACCGCCCCACGCCUAACAUGAAUAUCAGUCAGAAUCAGUGUACAUCAAUAACCCUUGUACUACUUCACGAGAGCUUCUAAUAAACUUCGAAAAUGAUAACAGACUUUGACAUUAAAUGGAGCCUGACCCUGAAGUUAUGAUUGGUAGAAAUAUAUAUAUUAAAUGACGAGAAUUUUCAACUAGACAAUCGGGCCAUCGUUAUGGAAAAGUUACAAACCAAAUUUAAAAGUCACUGAUAGGUAGCUAUUUUGACAAUUGUGAUAAAUUAGGAAGGAAAGAGAGAUAUUAAACAAGACUUUUGGCAUCUACUAAUGUCAUAUGACAGGGUUAUCCAUCUCAGGCAACUUUAGAAAUUCUGUCAUGCAUAAUGUUGAUUAUGUCACGUCAGUAAUUUCGUUGUGUACAAUUCACAUGGCGUUCAAAGUGUAACAAUUUCUUUAUGUGGUCUAUCAAAUCAAUUUCGGUCGCUUCAAUUAUUAAUACCGUGUGUUUGUUCACUAAUUUCUCAAAGAUAUACACACAACUGCGAAUUAAUUCCUCCUUGAAUGUGUUUUUGCUUUGUUCGCAAUUGUUUUACUUCUAUCGUUUAGUAUUGUCUUUUGGUAUUGUGAUGUGCUGAUGAAGUUUUAACGUUUACCGUUAUUUGUGGUUAUGAUGUAUUUUAGACUUUUUGUACAACACUAUCAUGCAAAGUUGAUAUGAAACCAUCUAAAUGCUAACUUAUACCUGUACUUGAAAUCAUAACAGUGGCGUUUGAGCUGAACUUCAACGUUUAACGUUACAUCUCACUGGAAUCGAUUCUGAAUGUUUUUGGGGUUUUUUUAUUUUUAUUUUUUAUUCCCAUCAUUUCAAAUACAAAGUAUACAUGGAACAUAUUACAUUAAGAUCAGCAUGGUAUAUAUUCAAAUCGCCUUGUUGUACAUUCAGUAGUUUGUUUCUCUGGUACAUCUGGUAGAUCUGGUAGAUCUAUAUAUAAGGUUUCUAUACAGAAUAACAGACAAAUUGUAGUAUUAAAUCAUAUCUUGGUAUUCUUGAAUAAUGUGUGGAAUGAAGACCAAAAAGAGAAAAAUUUAGCUUGUUUACAAUUUGAGAAAGCAAUAGAUCUUGUAGCUUCAUAAUAUUUAAUUAUUUCCCACUUCUCUUGUUUAAAAUGUUGAAUUGAUUUCUUUCUCAUUUGUUUAUAAAUUACAAAUUUUGCAAUUUAAAAUGUAAUAUUUAAUGGAUUCUGCAUGUUGUUCCUUAACAAUCACAACUUCAACUGAACUGAAACGGUUCAAGAAUUGUGUCAUCACUAGAUACGGAUUUUCAAAUUGAUUUUUAAAGUUGGAUCCCACGACGACUACUUUAAAAAAGCUAAUUCUGUUUCUACUUUAGUUAUGUUUUCAUUGUGUAAACUUUGAUAUGAGUAUAGUAUCUAUGUUAUUAUAUGAGCGUUUUCAUUUUGACCUGGUUUGGGAUCACGGUCUGUCAUAUGCUGAAGCCGAGGGACGAUAUGCCAAAUCGAGGACCUACACAGUCCAAUAUUAAACACCAACACCAAUAUUAUAACACUUGUAUUGUGCUUGCUUGAAACGGGAUUUACUUUUCUAAUUAAUAAAAUGUGAAUACAUGUAAGCUUUUAA